GAGCCGGACUCCACCAGCAACCUAAAGGAGCCCCCUGGGAGCCCAGCCUGCCGGCACCUGCUGCUGUGAGACCUGGAAGGGCACUGAGGCACUGAAGAAUCCCGUGAGUGGCAGAACUAAAACCCACGACUGAAAAUAAGUUGAAUCACGCUGAUGAAAUGUGGAAUGUGGAACGUGAAGGGUCUCCCUUGAUUUCCAAGUUCACCGCUGUGAACAUUGCAUAUGCUGUCAACGCAGAAACACCUAGAAGGUCCAGCUGUGUGUGUGUUGGGCCAGCCCGGGGCACUGCGGGCUUCGGGGCGCAGCACCCCCCAGCUGCCUCCUCGCCCCGCCGUGACCCUGCCUGAGCCCCAGAGCCAAGGGUGCUGGGGGAGAACGGCUGGUCUCUCUGGAUGUUUCUCCUGCAGGGAAACAAAAAGAAGGAAUAGAGAAGCGACUAGGGCCAGCCUUCACUGGCAAAGGUGGGAAACUGAGAUCCAGUGCACACGGCUGCCAGAGACAGAGUCACGUGCUUGCUGGGGAAUUAGCACUGCCGUCUGGUCCCCUGCCCACCAGCAUCGGUGGUUACUAAUCAGCCCCCUGGGACCUCUCCCUUUGAAUGAAGAUAUGUUGCACCCCAGCCAGGUGCUUGGGGGAUGGCAGAAGACUUCCGAGGGGAAGGUCGUGGACCAUCACCUCAGAGGCGUGCGUCACACAGACGGACCUAUGGUGGGUCAUUCUGUUACUCUCCCACGUGACGACCUUCCAUCAGCGCGGUCCAGGUGCUCUUCUGAGCUCUGUAGAGACACUCCUCCCUCUGCUCGACAGCCUGGGACUCGGGCUGUGACUGUUCUCAGUGGAUGUGGGGAGACUGAGGCACAAAGACACUCGGUGACUUAUGCAGGGAGUCAGCCUUCAGGCCCCAGCCUGACCCCCACUGUGAGCUCAUCACCCACCAGCACGCACCUGUCACACACAGAGCAUGGCCUUCAGCCUGGAGGGCGAGUCUGAGGAGAAGCAGGGCCCACCAGGGCUGACUAUGCCCCUCCCCUCCCCCACGUCCCUCACAGAUGUGUACUGGGCCCCUCCUGGGCCACGCCCUCUGCAUUUGGCCUCCAUGCAGAGACUCUGGGCCCCUACCCUCUUUCCCAGCUCCCAGGAAUCCCCAGGGACCAUUUCUGGUGUUGCAUGUCCCUCUUAGGUCUAGCCCUCCUCUCCUCUGCCCUGCCUGCUGUAGUGACCAAAGCGGGCUUUGGCCCCUCCUGAUUGAUGGAGAAUCCCUUCUCCCAGGGCCCACAGGGGCCACUUUCCAGGGUCUUCCCUGAUGAUUAAGUACCAGAAAGCUCCAAGGAGCUGAGGGCUCACUUCUCAGCAGUGGGCCUGUGAUGGUCAAAGCCGGUCACUGUCCUGCUUCCUGUCCCCAUAGUGCUUUAUGUAUGUACACAGUUGGGGAGCAGUGGGGCUCGGGGCUGGCCCUCUGGCCUGUGCCUACCUGCCACGGGGGUUGGGGGGGCCACUGUCAUUCUGGGAACCCUGGUCUCAGUGGAUGUCAGUGGAGAUGAUAAUGAGCCCAGCCCCGUCCCAGCCUCCCAGGGUUGGGGAAAGAUUGAUGCAAGUGGAAGGUGAGGCCGAGAGGAGGGUGCCCCCCGCCUAUCCCUCCCAUUGCUGUGGACAGAACCCUGGCGAGCCCCUUUGCUUUUUCGUGCUGUGCCUCCAUUUCUUCUUCCGGGAAAAGGACAUAAUGAUGAAGCCCAUCCCCAGUCAGCUUGGGGGCCCGCACUUUGCAAAGUCACUGGGGCAGAGCUGGAGCCUUGAGUUGGCAUGUGAUGGGGCUCCAUGGACACCCGGUGAAAGGAAGGGGGACACGAGCCUGUCACACUGCAUCAGCCCUGCGAGGUCUGCGACUGGAGGCAGCGGCUGCCAUCCCCGUCCCUCCCUGGAGCCAGCCUCCAGCUCGGUGGGCCUCUCAUACAUGCAGGCUGGGCUGGCCCAUGGCUACAGAGUUGCAGGCCAGAGGAAUCCCUGCCCCCACCAAGAAGUGACCACACCCCACUUCCCCUUAGAGUGUCUCAUCCCCAGAGGGGCCACCGCCUUCCACCCCAUCUCCCUCCCUCUACGGAUCAGAGCAGCCAGACCACCAUCUCCCUGGGGGGUCUUUUCUUCCUUCUCCAUCUAGACACAUUUCUCUCUGGCCUCCGGGUCACACUUCUGCCCCUGCCCUGAAUGCAUGUCCUGAGCAACCUCCCCACCAACUUGGCACCUUCCCCAUGACAACCGGAUAACGAUCUUUCUCCCUCAAGCUGUCCCCUCCAACCCCUUGUCAUUUGCUGGAAGGCAUUAGGAGACGUCUCUGCAAGACAUCACAGCCCCCCACCCUACACCUGGCAGCUUCCUUACCACCCCCACCCGGCAGCUCCCCAACCCUGCAGUUUACCCUUGGCCCCUACCCCUGGUGGCUUUCCCCCAACAUCUGGCAGCACCCCCACAGCUCUCCCCACAGCCCCCCCUUCCUAACCUGGCAGCUUCCCCAGCCCCCCCACGCCUGUACCUUACUGUCCUCACCUGGCAGCUCCCCUACAUCUGGCAGCACCCCACACCCCACUGGCUGUUUCCCCACCCCCCACUAAGCAGGUGCAAAUUUCUUAGUUUUGCUGGAGGCUAGGCCAAGGGCACAGCACAGGGGAGAGGCUCCCUGCUGUAGAGUCUGGCCCCCCAACAGCCUUUUCCCUCAGUCUCCCUCCUGCUGGUGCCCCCAGCGUCCCCGAGAGCAUUGCUCAUGGAGUCCUUGACCAAGCUGAGCUUUGUCACAUGUAUCAAGACACAUUAAAAUAUUAUCACUAGAGACCUUUGCUGA
ensembl:lincRNA